rnacentral:rRNA from 1 species
AGGAUGAACGUUGGCGGCGUGCCUAACACAUGCAAGUCGAACGGUGGUAGCAAUACUACAGUGGCGCACGGGUGAGUAACACGUAGCUUACCUCCCUCUCAGCGCGGGAUAACGACUCGAAAGAGUUGCUAAUACCGCAUAAGCUCACGGGUUCUAGAGGCUUGUGAGAAGAGGUGCAAAUCACUGAGAGACGGGGCUGCGGCCCAUCAGCUAGUUGGGGCGGUAAAAGCGCACCAAGGCGACGAC